AACGCAAGUUGCGCCCGAAGCCUUGGCUGAGGGCACGCCUGCCUGGGUGUCACACAUCGCUUUGCCUCCAAAACCUAUCCCCUCGUAACACCGUGGUGAUGGUUUGGAUGCGGAAGAUGGCCUCCCGCGACCGAGAGCCGCGGAUGGCCCAAGUUGUUGCCGGGGAAGCGAAGCGCCACGGCUUUCGGUGGUCGGCACGGCCUUUCGAGGCAACGAAGCCCGUGGCAGCCGCGAGAGACCCCGGUCUAAGACCCUAACGACCAACAAACGCGACCUCAGGUCAGGCGGGGCUACCCGCUGAGUUUAA
rnacentral:misc_RNA from 1 species